rnacentral:rRNA from 1 species
AUUGAACGCUGGCGGCAGGCCUAACACAUGCAAGUCGAACGGGUGGCGGACGGGUGAGUAAUGUCUGGGAAACUGCCCGAGGGAGGGGGAUAACUAAUGGAAACGGUAGCUAAUACCGCAUACCAUCGGAUGUGCCCAGAUGGGAUUAGAUAGUAGGUGGGGUAACGGCUCAACUAGGCGACGAUCCCUAGCUGGUCUGCGAGGAUGACCAGCCACACUGGAACUUAGACACGGUCCAGACUCCUACGGGCGGCAGCAGUGGGGAAUAUUGCACAAUGGGCUCAAGCCUGAUGCAGCCAUGCCGCGUGUAUGAAGAAGGCCUUCGGGUUGUAAAGUACUUUCAGCGAGGAGGCGUUACUCGCAGAAGAAGCACCGGCUAACUCCGUGCCAGCAGCCGCGGUAUUC